rnacentral:rRNA from 1 species
GGGACGGUCAGAUAUCGGUAUACUGCGCGUAAACGCGCGCAGGCGGUCCUUUAAUUCUGAUGUGAAAGCCCACGGCUUAACCGUGGAGGGUCAUUGGAAACUGGAGGACUUGAGUACAGAAAAGGAGAGUGGAAUUCCACGUGUAGCGGUGAAAUGUAAAGAGAUGUGGAGGAACACCAGUGGCGAAGGCGACUCUCUGGUCUGUAACUGACGCUGAGGCGCGAAAGCGUGGGGAGCGAACAGGAUUAGAUACCCUGGUAGUCCACGCCGUAAACGAUGAGUGCUAGGUGUUAGGGGGUUUCCGCCCCUUAGUGCUGAAGUUAACGCAUUAAGCACUCCGCCUGGGGAGUACGGCCGCAAGGCUGAAACUCAAAAGAAUUGACGGGGGCCCGCACAAGCGGUGGAGCAUGUGGUUUAAUUCGAAGCAACGCGAAGAACCUUACCAGGUCUUGACAUCCUCUGACCACCCUAGAGAUAGGGCUUUCCCUUCGGGGACAGAGUGACAGGUGGUGCAUGGUUGUCGUCAGCUCGUGUCGUGAGAUGUUGGGUUAAGUCCCGCAACGAGCGCAACCCUUGUUCUUAGUUGCCAGCAUUUAGUUGGGCACUCUAAGGAGACUGCCGGUGACAAACCGGAGGAAGGUGGGGAUGACGUCAAAUCAUCAUGCCCCUUAUGACCUGGGCUACACACGUGCUACAAUGGAUGGUACAAAGGGCAGCGAAGCCGCGAGGUGAAGCAAAUCCCAUAAAACCAUUCUCAGUUCGGAUUGCAGGCUGCAACUCGCCUGCAUGAAGCCGGAAUC